AAGAGAGAAAGGCGGCGGUGUCCUGCGGAGAGAGCUGCUCCCUCCACUGCCCGAGGGGAGCGCGUCGCCUCAGCCGCUCGAAAGCAGGAAAUGGGCGGCAAAAGCGCAGUCAGACACCAACUGGUUCUGGACUGCCCCCGAGAGGCAGCGAGCAGCGCUCCCGCGCUUCGCCCGCUAGGAGCUGCCGCCACGUCCCGAGCUGCGCCGCUCGCGCCCCUCCCUGCUCCGAGCCCCCGGUGGGGGCUGGGCUGCGGCCGAGUCCGGUAGCCGGGCCCCCACCCGCGCCGCGCUGUCGAACCCGCCGCCGGCCCGCUCUCGGCGCCGAUAAUCGCCGGCGGGCAUCCCGCAGAGGCUGCCGCCGGCUCCGCCAAACAGCAGCCAAGGCAUAGCCGGGAAGUCCCCAGGCCACCCGUUCCCCAGCACCCUUCGGGGAAUUCCCGUUCAGCUCUACAGGAGGCGAAAACGGAACAAACGAAAACCCCUUAACAGUGAAACCGGGCCCGGCGAUGGCCCGGGUGGCGACUGCGACGACUCGACGCGUGCGGACACAAGACCCGUCUCGCGCUCCGCUGCUCCUGUGCGUCCGGACGAACCUUAGAGAUCACUUAAGGAGGCUCGCGCGCUACUCCUCACCACGUGACCGCCCCGCCAGGCCGCCCCCCGCGCCGCCAUCUUACAUCCGGGACAGAGGCGGCGUCCCCUUUCCCUGCCUUGGCAGGCGUCAGCGUGCCACCAGAAAUCAGCCCUGAAAGAGGGGACCCCGAUUCCACGUCACCAGAG
rnacentral:lncRNA from 1 species